UGGGAGAUCGUCUAGCGGUAGGACCCCGCUCUCUGAAAGCGGUAACCUUGGUUCGAAUCCAAGUCUCCCAGCAA
rnacentral:tRNA from 1 species